AUACGGAGGGUGCAAGCGUUAAUCGGAAUUACUGGGCGUAAAGCGUACGUAGGCGGUUAUUUAAGUCAGAUGUGAAAUCCCCGGGCUUAACUUGGGAACUGCAUUUGAAACUGGGUAACUAGAGUUUAGUAGAGGGGAGUGGAAUUUCAGGUGUAGCGGUGAAAUGCGUAGAGAUCUGAAGGAACACCAGUGGCGAAGGCGACUCCCUGGACUAAAACUGACGCUGAGGUACGAAAGCGCGGGUAGCAAACAGGAUUAGAAACCCUAGUAGUCC
rnacentral:rRNA from 1 species